AUGAAGAGGAAGGGAGGAGACGGAGGGGGGACGGACAUGGUGUUCGGCAUGAACGAUGCGCGGACGAAGGCGAGUGGGAGGACGGAGGUGGAAGAUCUGUGCUCCAAGCUGACGUCUCUGCUCCCCCAAGACUAUCGGCUGGACGCCUCACAGGGUCCGCCGGACAUCCCGAGCCAACUGAUGCAGGCCACCGCCUACAUCGAAGAUCUAUACGAGAGAGUCGAAAGGCUAAGGCAGAUGAGAGAUGACAAAACCCAAAGGCGCAGCUGCAGGGUCCCAAACACACAAGGGACAGCUCGGGAUGUCACGGUGCAGCUCGGCGGGGCGGCGCAUUUCGACGUGAGCUUCACGACGAGCCCCGCGGAGAGACUCGAGAUGCACAGGGUGAUCCGCCUCAUCGAGCAGGAUGGACGCAUGGAGGUCGUCGAGGCGAGCUGGUGCUUUGUCGACGGUGGCAAGGUUUUCUGCACGAUCAAGUGCAUGGCAGUGAGCUCUGAGGCUGUCUUGGAUGCGUCCAUGGCGGCGACAAGGCUCGGAAGGUUGCUGACGGACUCACUUGGUGGCCAUGGUGUCUAA
rnacentral:rRNA from 1 species